rnacentral:rRNA from 1 species
CGAGCACGCGCGUGUGGCAUAUCAAUAAGCGGAGGAAAAGAAACUAACAAGGAUUCCCUUAGUAACGGCGAGUGAAGCGGGAAGAGCUCAAAUUUAAAAUCUUCAAGGUUCUACCUUGACGAAUUGUAGUUUAUAGAAGUGUUUUCUGUUAGUAGAGUGGCAAAAGUUCUUUGGAAUAGGACAUCAUAGAGGGUGAGAAUCCCGUAUUUGGUCAUUCUUCCUAGCUUUGUGAUACACUUUCAACGAGUCGGAUUGUUUGGGAAUGCAGUCCAAAAUGGGUGGUAAAUUUCAUCUAAAGCUAAAUAUUGGCGAGAGACCGAUAGCGAACAAGUACCGUGAGGGAAAGAUGAAAAGAACUUUGAAAAGAGAGCUAAACAGUACGUGAAAUUGUCAAAAGGGAAGCGUUUGACACCAGUGUUGUUUUUCCGAAAAUCAAUUACGAAUGUUUUGUUUUUGAGGAGUUAUGACUUCAUUCGGCUUGCUUCUCUCUUUAUGAAACUUUCUUAAUGCACUUUUCGGUUAACAAGUCAACAUCAAUUUCUUUUGUUGUAAAAGGGUAUGAGGAAGGUGGCUUUCUUUUCGGAGAAAGUGUUUAUAGCCUUGUGCCUCUACAAUCGGAGAGAUUGAGGUCUGCAGCGUAGAUCCUUCGGGGUUAGAUACGUUUGUGCUAAGUUAUAGCUUUUCAUAGACAACUUGUUGACUAUGUUUAGUCUUGUAGCUUACUCGCUGACGCUAUUUUACCUACGCUUAGGAUGUUGAGUAGCGACAUACGCAC